rnacentral:rRNA from 1 species
CCUACGGGUGGCAGCAGUGAGGAAUAUUGGUCAAUGGCCGGAAGGCUGAACCAGCAAAGCCGCGUGAAAGACGAAGGUGCCAAGCAUUGUAAACUUCUUUUGUCAAGGGACAAAAUCAGGCUCGAGAGCCUGACCGAGGGUACUUGAAGAAAACGCAUCGGCUAACUCCGUGCCAGCAGCCGCGGUAAUACGGAGGAUGCGAGCGUUAUCCGGAUUUAUUGGGUUUAAAGGGUGCGUAGGCGGGCUGUUGAGGCAGCGGUAAAAGCCCGGGGCUCAACCCCGGCGAGCCGUGGAAACUGGCUGUCGUGAGAGGGCGAGAGGUAUGCGGAAUGCGCGGUGUAGCGGUGAAAUGCUUAGAUAUUGCGCAGAACUCCGAUUGCGAAGGCAGCAUACCGGCGGCGAACUGACGCUGAGGCACGAAAGCGUGGGUAUCGAACAGGAUUAGAUACCCCUGUAGUC